UAAAAAAAAAAAAAAAAAAAAAAAAAUUAAAAAAAAAAAAAAGACGCGCCGGUUGCGUUCGAAAAGUUAAUGAU
rnacentral:rRNA from 11 species